ACCAACAUACUUUAUUUAAUAAUAUGAAAUAUAAUCUUUAAAGAUUAGAUAGAUUAGAUUAGAUAAAUUACAAACAACCUCUAUGAUUAGACAAAUUAACAAUAAAUCUCGGCUGUCCCUCUGUCUAAAGUAAAAUUAAUUGUGUGAUUGUCUAUUUGUCUAUUAUGUCAUUUAUUUCUUGUCAAUUUGUUCGCGCCAAGUAUCUUGGAGAUUAGUUCGGUUAAAAACGCAGAUCCCCGGCACUUUGACGUGACUGGUAUUCUGAACUUGUACUUUGUACUUGUCUUGUUUUAUGUGAUUUGUUAAUGGGCUGUUAGUUCAUUAUUAUUCGAAACUUUUCACACAAAGGUAACAGUGUGUGGUCUAUUCCGAACCAGGUGCCGAGACAAUAUAUGUAUGUAGGUAGGUAUAUACUGUCUUUUGCGCCUCAACUUUCUUUUUAAAAACAAGAUCUGGCUGGUUUGGAGCGACAGAAGUAACCCAACGUUUGAAGAACAAAAAGCAUAAUUUUAUUUGAAAAGAAUAGAACAUUGGUUUUUAAUUGUGAAGGUUAUAUAAGUAGUAUUACUUUCCGAUUAUCAGGUGUGAAACUGUGAUAUACUUGUAAUAUAUCAGGUGUUACAGUUAGGCGUACUUGAGGGCAGUACCCUGGCAGUAAUCAACCAGAACUGGCUCACACCACUUAAGCAAGAGGUACUGUGACCUCCUAUUAAGGGGAGGAAAGCGUUUAGAAAGGCUCUUACUGACGGAGUCCAAGCUCGCAGCAAUUGGAGGCCUUUUGGAAUAAAAAGAGUUUUCUUUUGAACGGGUUCGUAAGAAUAGUAGUUUUUUAUCUGUCCUCCGGUUUUUAUUAUUAUUUUUGUGGCUGGUCAGAACUACUUUCAAUUAAUUAAAGUUGUAACCAUCUUUGCUUGCUUCCUGUCAAUAAAAUACGAUUUAAGAUUC
rnacentral:lncRNA from 1 species